CAGACAAAACGAGAAAAUUGGAGUCGAGAGUCAGGUGCUUGUGAUGCGGCCAACACUUUCCUCGCCGAGACAACGAUAUCCUCAUUUUUAUAUAAAAAUAAACUUUAGUUUAUUAAAGCGAUUGGUCACACAGCUGACCUCGACGCUACGCUUGAAUUUUAAAUUUCAAUUUAUUAAAGCAAUUGGUCACACAACUGACCUCCUCCCUACGCUUCAAUUUUAAACUUCAAUUUAUUAAAGCGAUUGGUCACACAACUGACCCUUUCGCUGGGUUUCUAUUUCAUUCAAUAACGUGACAUUUCAUAGGACAAAAGAAUGGUAAUGCACAUGUAAACAAAGCGAUUCAUUAAUUUGGGAAAAUUGUAUGUCGCUGGGAAUACAGAGGAAAAGGAAAGUAAACGAAUGCUAGGGAUAAGAUAAGACAGCAUAAAUUAUAACUGGCGUUAUCGUUAGGUGAUAGUAUAUCAAUGUUUCUUUUCUGUUUUUGUGGCAUCAUAACAUUGGUGUUUCUGUACAACCCGCAAACAAUGCUUAAUCCGUCACACAAUUAUUUCUACAUGUUUCGCUUUACAGGCAAAUUAAUCAGACUGAAAUGUGUACACAGAGCCUUUGCGAAUACAAGAUUAGGUUCGAUAUUUAUGUAGAUUAUGCAUAAUUCAAAGACAAGAAUGUAAACAAAGCAAUGUUUUGAUUCUGUGAGAAAUAUCUCAAGGACUGACUUUAUUACUUAAAGAACGGCAAUGUCAAUGAUCAUUAGAUAAUCGAAGCAACUCUGUGAAGACAAUGAAGUAUUCAUCAAUUGCAAAUUCGAUUCGAAAUCAGAAUUAAUGUAAUUCCUACUGAAAAUUGUUAUUCUUAGUAGAAAGUAGUUUUAACUAGAUUUUAAGUACAAAAAAAAUGGAAAAACGGAACGAACGAACUUUUAUUUGCAACCGAACGAACAAUACUGCCAACAUUAGUUAUUAAUAGCAAAGAAAAGGGAAGUGUGUCGCACGGACUGAUAGCAGUAAUUCAAAACAAAGAAAACAGCUGUUCGAAACUGAGCCACGGCGGGCACGUUUGUCCUUCGUUUCGAACGAACGAAAACAAAGAGGCGAUCGCUCGAAUUAUUUUAUUCGACGAAUAAAGGAAGUAGGAGAGCGCCUAAAGGCGAAUAGGAACGAAAACGUGUAAAUGGAACAGGGGUAAUCGGUGAUUGACGCGA